rnacentral:rRNA from 1 species
AGAGUUUGAUCCUGGCUCAGGAUGAACGCUGGCGGCGUGCCUAAUACAUGCAAGUCAAACGCUUUGUGGUUCAACUGAUUUGAAGAGCUUGCUCAGAUAUGACGAUGGACAUUGCAAAGAGUGGCGAACGGGUGAGUAACACGUGGGAAACCUACCUCUUAGCAGGGGAUAACAUUUGGAAACAGAUGCUAAUACCGUAUAACAAUGACAACCGCAUGGUUGUUAUUUAAAAGAUGGUUCUGCUAUCACUAAGAGAUGGUCCCGCGGUGCAUUAGCUAGUUGGUAAGGUAAUGGCUUACCAAGGCGAUGAUGCAUAGCCGAGUUGAGAGACUGAUCGGCCACAAUGGGACUGAGACACGGCCCAUACUCCUACGGGAGGCAGCAGUAGGGAAUCUUCCACAAUGGGCGAAAGCCUGAUGGAGCAACGCCGCGUGUGUGAUGAAGGGUUUCGGCUCGUAAAACACUGUUGUAAGAGAAGAAUGACAUUGAGAGUAACUGUUCAAUGUGUGACGGUAUCUUACCAGAAAGGAACGGCUAAAUACGUGCCAGCAGCCGCGGUAAUAAGGGCGAAUUC